rnacentral:misc_RNA from 1 species
GAUGAAGAACGCAGCGUAAUGCAAUACUUGGUGUGAAUUGCAGAAUCCCGUGAACCAUCGGGUUUUUGAACGCAAGUUGCGCCCGAAGCCGUUAGGCCGAGGGCACGCCUGCCUGGGUGUCACACAUCGUUGCCCCAAUGCCAAUCGCCUCACUUUGUAGGUAUUUGCUUGGGGUGAAUGUUGGCCUCCCGUGAGCUUUGUCUCACGGUUGGUUGAAAAUCGAGUGCAUGGUGUCGGGUGUACCAUGAUGGAUGGUGGUUGAGUGAUGAUGCUCGGUGACCCACAUGCGUCCCUUGGAUGCUCCCUAAGGAGACCUCAGGUCAGGCGGGGCUACCCACUGAGUUUAAGCAUAUCAAUAAGCGGAGGA